rnacentral:sRNA from 1 species
ACAAAAGAGGCAAGAAGGUUAAUUCUUGUCGUUUCGCGGUCAAGUCUUGGGAGGAUCAGAUCUUAGGCGCGCUCGUUCGCAGCCCCGGCAACGGAUAAGGAUCACGCGAUACUUAAAAACAAGGCUUACAGCCUUGUUUUUUUUU